CCUACGGGGGGCAGCAGUGGGGACUAUUGGGCCAUGGGCGCAAGCCUGACCCCGCAACGCCGCGUGAAGGAAGCAGGCUUUCGUGUUGUAAACUUCUUUUCUGGGGGACGAACAAAUGACUGUAUCCCAGGAAUAAGCCACGGCUAACUACGUGCCAGCUGCCGCGUUACUACGUAGGUGGCAAGAGUUAUCCGGAUUGAUUGGUUGUAAAGGGCGUGUAGGCGGGAAGGAAAGCCAGAUGUGAAAACUAUGGGCGAAACCCAGAACUUGCAUUUGAAACUGUAUUUCUUGAGUUCUGGAGAGGCAAUCGGAAUUCCGUGUGUAGCGGUGAAAUGCGUAGAUAUACGGAGGAACACCAGUGGCGAAGGCGGAUUGCUGGACAGUAACUGACGCUGAGGCGCGAAAGCGUGGGGAGCACACAGGAUUAGAUACCCCUGUAGUC
rnacentral:rRNA from 1 species